rnacentral:lncRNA from 1 species
CCGCCGCCGCCGCUGCCGCUGCCGCUGCCGCACCUCCGUAGCUGACUCGCAAGCUGCUAGCUCUCUGCAGUGAUGUCUGCUUCGCCCACCAGCCCUGGCUCACUCAGGGGGUCCUGUGGUCAUCAGGUCACAUUGAGUCACCACAGACAGCUUUCCUAACGCUGUGUUCUGAUGCCCUGGAGAAACUGUCAGCUAAGCGCAGUGGCUCACGCCUGUAAUCCCAGCACUUCUGGAGGCCACGAUGGGCGGAACAUGAGGUCAGGAGAUCGAGACCAGCCUGGCCAACACAGUGAAACCUCGUCUUUACUAAAAUACAAAAAGGUAGCUGGGCAUGGUGAUGCACGCCUGUAAUCCCAGCUACUCGGGAGGCUGAGGCAGGGGAAUCGCUUGAACCCAGGAGUUGGAGGUUGCAGUGAGCUGAGAUCACACCACUGCACUCCAGCCUGGUUGACAGAGCAAGACUCCGUCUCAAAAAAGAAAAGAAAAGAGAAGAGAAGAG